rnacentral:other from 2 species
UUGUCCCUGCGGUGUUCGUGACUUGGCCAUACAUUCUCUGAACCUAUGUCUUAUGGCAUAUUGGUUGCGGGAGUGUCGAGCUGGCGUGAUUGUCCCUCCGGGGAUGAACCCAAGGCUCUUCGGAACGCGACCACCUUGAACCUCAGGGUUCGAGAUGCCGGCCUAGACGGCACCCGCGGGGCAUUU